rnacentral:rRNA from 1 species
GGCCGCGGGAAUUCGAUUCAGGCCUAACACAUGCAAGUCGAACGAGACCUUCGGGUCUAGUGGCGCACGGGUGCGUAACGCGUGGGAACCUGCCUUUAGGUUCGGAAUAACUCAGAGAAAUUUGAGCUAAUACCGGAUAAUGUCUUCGGACCAAAGAUUUAUCGCCUUUAGAUGGGCCCGCGUAAGAUUAGCUAGUUGGUGGGGUAAAGGCCUACCAAGGCGACGAUCUUUAGCUGGUCUGAGAGGAUGAUCAGCCACACUGGGACUGAGACACGGCCCAGACUCCUACGGGAGGCAGCAGUGGGGAAUAUUGGAAAAUGGGCGAAAGCCUGAUCCAGCAAUGCCGCGUGAGUUAAAGAGGCCUUAGGGUUGUAAAGCUCUUUACCAGGGAUGAUA